rnacentral:lncRNA from 10 species
CGAAUAACUGGGACUGCAGGCGCAUGUUGCCAAGCCCGGCUAAUUUUUGUAUUUUAUUGGAGACAUGGUUUCACUAUGUUGGCCAGGCUGGUCUCAAACUCCUGACCUUAUGAUCCAUCCGCCUUGGCCUCCCAAAGUGCUGGGAUUACAGGCAUGAGCCAUCGUGCCCAGCCUGGCUUCUGUUUAUGAAGAAUGAGGCAUUAGUUAAGUGCAUGUAUAUUGGAGGGCAUGAGGGGAGAGGGUUGUAGAUAAGCAGAACCUCACAAUUAUUUCCUCAGCAUCUCCCUAUUGCAUCUAAAGAGCAAACAAGAGAGGGCAAGUUCUUACGGUGGCAUGAAAUCGGCUCACUUUGGUACCAGGAAGAGGUGCAGCCACAGCCCCCUGGGAUUGCAAACAGGCUGGGAUCUCUCCUGGCAUCGAGGAAGGGGAUGCUGACUGUGAUCCAGUCCAGCCUCUGCCCUCUGAGUCCUCCCCUGCUCUGGCAUGCCUGCCUGGGUUUUUAUGUCAUUGGAAUGUAGCUUUUCUUCCUGUGGUUCGAAAGCUUUACUGGUCUUUCCUGUUGCUCUCCCUGAAGAUUGAUGGUACAGCCUUGGCCCCUCCUAGCUGUGAAACUUUUUCAGGAUCUCGUUUCUUUAGUGACUUUGCGGAAAGGAAAGUAAUGGAAACACUCCCUUUACACCAGAGAUUCUCAAUCUUGGUUGUACAUUUGAAUCACCUGGAGAGCUUUUAAAAUUUCCUAUGCCCAGGCUGCACCGCAGAUUAAUUGAGUCAGAAUCUCUGGUGGGUGGGAUCCUGAUAGCAGUCAAUUUAAAAUCUGGCUUUGUUUGCACGUGUCUCUCUAUUGCUAAAUGUCUACAACAGAGGGAAACAGUGUGCCUAAGUGCCUUACCUGCAUAAGCGCUCAAUCAGUUGCUUACUUGUAUCUUCCCAUUGCUUUCAUUUGUCUCUUGAUGUCUUUAUGACACACAUGAACUAGUAAGACUCCUUUCCUUUUGUUGAUUUUUGGGUUUUGUUUAGGUUAAAGAGACUACAUUAACCAACUGCCAAUAAAAUUGGACUGGAUAAUUUUCAAGCGGGCAAAAACUACUCAUCCUUUACUCAUUUGGCCAGAGGCUGGGACUCCUGAGGAGUGUGCACUGCAUGGUAGCUAAAAUCCAACCCAUUCAGCCAGGACUCAUACGAAAACAGGAACACACGAAAAGUCCUUAGGGUCGGACAGUUCGAAGACAGAGCUAGCUCAGUUUGCACCUUAGGAAUGAGACCUGGUCAUGCCUGCUGAUCCAUACUUUAAUGUGUCUCAG